CCACUCCAAAACAAAGCAAAAACAUAUUACAGUAAUGCACCAGUCAAUUGUAACCACGGCCGCCCAGGUCCAGGGGUUUACUUGGAAUAGCCAGGGAAAUGGGCCGUGUUUUUAUCUUCCAGAUGGCCCCGCAGUGCUGGGUAAAUGCGGUGGUUUUGUCUUCACGUCAAAAAUAGCGGAGUCUGGGCCUUACUUAGGGUCCCUUGGGUGUGGGGGCAUUUGGCGGGGAUGUUACCCGCGCUUGGCUGGACCGAAAAUCAAAUUCCCUGCUAUUCUCCGGAUCUGGGGGGCUGUGGUUACAAUUGACUGGUGCAUGAAUUAUUUAAAAUAUAAAGCCUUCUGUUUGGACCUUUCAUUUCAUAUUUCUGACCUACGAGCCCAAUGCCAUUAAAUCCAAGCCAGCAAAGUGAUAUCAGAUAUAUUCUGUUUAUGGUUUGAUUGUCUGCAUAUUAUUUAUGAUAUCUGCCCUCUAUAUGUUUUCUUAACAUUGAAUAUAUGCAUGGAAACAAUUUGGCGGCGUUGCUACAAGCAGUGCCAUGAUUUCAUAAAAGUGCUGACAAUAAUGAGAAUUUUGUGUCAACUCCUAUAUACACUUAAAAUCUAGUUUUUGAUAUUCAAUAAAAGUGAUGUUCCAAUGAUUGAUUUCAAUCGGAAAUUGAUUGGUUGGGGCCCAUACAUGCCAUAUUUUCUGGAGACCAUUCAGGGGGAUUUGUUCAAAAGUCUGAAAAUUCAGGGGGAUUUUGGUAGUAUUCAGGGGGAUUUUUUAGCAGAUCUAAUUCAGCAAAAUUUCAAAGUAUUUUAAGACGCAAGUACGAAAAAAAAACAAAUUGCCAUAAUUUUGAAAGGCUCCUGAGGGGAUUAUGUCCAGAAUUUAAGGGGAUUUUGGUCACAUACCAGGGGAUUUUCAUCAUCGCCAUGUAGCAUUACGGGCAUGACAUAGUCCAAAUAAUUGUACGUUGACGGAUUUUUUUUAGAUUUUUGAUAUGGCAAAUCCUUCACGUACAAAUUGUUAAGUAUCAAAAGUGGGUAGUUGUUCCGAUCAGGAUUCCGGGUUAAAGCAUAUAGCGUCUAUAAAAUAUCAUAAAAACAAGAAAUAUUACCAGAUAAUGUUAUUUUAUAUUAGUUUCGUACACAAAAAAAUAAAUAUCCAACUUAUAAUUAUGAGUUUGACGGCUUUUUUUCAUUUCAUUCUGUCAAAACAUAACGAUAUAUACAUGAAGGGCACCUGCAAGGCUUUAGGGCACAGUUUUAAAUCACUCGGAACAUUUCGGCCAUGGCCGAGUUGUUACGAUUGUAUAACGAGGUCUAUCUCGAAGCUUUGUCGGAGGAGGCCGAGCUAUUACGAUUGUAUCGAGUUGUUCCCCUUCGCAUAAUUGUUGUCUGUGUCAGUCAACUUUCGUUUCAUUGGAAAGGUUCUGGCUGUGGAUGGACUGCACCUCAACAGACAUGGAGCAAGACGGUGACCGUGCCUGCAAGAUCUGGGUGAUGAUUGGUUGUACAGAUUGUUGAUGGUGAUCACAUUCAGCGUGAGGAAGAAGAGUGGCCAGAGUUACAAGAGAUGGAGCCCGUCGUCAGAGAUGAUGUCAGCCUACCACCAGUGCAGUCUUUGGAACGGCUGUCUUAUGCCACUGUGCAGCAGGCACAACAUAGACUUGAAACCCCAAAGAAGAAAGACCAAAAGAAGAUGAAGGUCAAGCGACAGAAACAGAAAGACAAGAAUAUGGAUACUACCAAAAAGAUGUUAUGUUGGCUAAUGGUGCUGAGCAGAACCUAGGACUGACUACAUGAGUAGAGGAAUCUUCAACCGCAUUGAUGAUUGGUUGGUAACACUGCCAGAGGGUCAAGUCAACUCCAUGCAACAACUGAUUAGCUCUCCUGCCAUAUUUGAGAGCAGAGUUGAAUAUCCCACUCUUCAAUUAAGAUUCCUGUGAGCUUCUGGACCAUAUCCUGUAGCUGACCUGAUUUACAUUAAAGGGUAAAAGUUUUUGAAAGAGAUGGUUGUUUCAUUUCUCCCAGAAAAAGGCAACCCAAUGGAAAAUGAUUGGCGAAACAUAUUUGUUCAAAAAGGAUUGCGAUAAAUGUGAGCUGCAUGAUAAAAGGAUCAACCAAACCAGAGUCUACACACUGCUCUAGUUCAUCUUUUUCUCUGGACAUUUUGUACAACGAACGUUGAAAAUGUCCAAUGAUUCUAAGUGAUAACAUUAUUGUCAAAGAACUAUAAUCAAAUAUGAAAUGUUAAAAAAAAAUGUAAAAAAGAACAGUUUGAUGUUAACAGUGACUAUACAUUACAUCCAGUCUCUGAAUUUAGAGUUUUGAUAUAUUUGUGUUGUAACUACAACUUUAUAGUCAAAUCAUUGAAAGCUGAGAUUGCAUCUGUAUUUUAUUGCACAAUAUUUGUCCUUGAAAGAACCUUUUCUACAUAAUACCAAUUAAAAUUUAGAUGAUGAGUAUAAAUAUAUAUGAACAUUAUUAGCUCAAUGCAUAUUUCAAACUGCAUGUGCAUGUACUAGCAAUAGUUAAGGUUAUACAUCAUAUCUUUAGCCUGCUUACUUUGUAUAAAAUAGUCUGUUAUAAUAUUGAUAUUGUUGUAAGGCUAGAAUUUCACAAGUUUGAAAAGACUUUUUUUUUAAACAGUACAUAGACAAUGUUUAUAUUAUGUUGAGGGUAUUUUAAGAUUAGAUAAAUGCUGCACAAGUAUGUCAUUCAAAUAAUUGUAUUCUUGAUUUAAUUGAAAGAAUACUAUUUUUAGCUCAGAAAAAAAUUACAACCUAUUGUCGUGGCUUGAUUGUUGUCGUUGCUAGAGGUGUUGGUUAAGUUUUGCGUUUAAGUCACUUACAUGGAAAUCUAUCAAAGCUAUCACUUUGAAACUUUGGGAACUUGUUCAUUUAAUACCCUUCUUCACAUUGUACCCUAAAGAUGCUGAGCCUCACCUGUUUUUAUGGGUAAAAAUCAUGAAUUUUAAUGGAUUUUGGUUGAUUUAAGAAUUGGACAUAGCUUCUUCUAUUUUUGUUGGAUGGAUUUCAUAACAGGUUUUUGAUUCACCUAUUUGGGAUAAGAGGAGGGUGCGUUGUAUUUUAGGACUCAAUAAUUUUUAGCUAAUCUGAUUUUUUAAGAUUUAUGUUUGGGUUACUAACAAGCAAACUAUUAAAGCUAUCACUUUCAAACUUUGGAAUACCUGUUCACUAUCAAAUGUACAAUAUCUUAUAUGAAAUAAAUAAACCGUAAAAGGGUAAAAUCAGACGAGCAUUCAGCACCCGCAGGCAGUGCUCUUGUUAUACAUUACCAACACAAAGUCCUUUUACACUGGUGUAUUGUUUUGUUACCAUUUUAAAAGGGAAGUACAACAUUUCAAUUUACUAUGUGUUUGAAUUGCGAAGAAGACCUUUUUUGCCAUUAUUUGCCUUAAGACAUAGUUAGUGAUUACAUAUAACCAGUUGAUUUCUUUCUUAUACAAUGUUAAGAAUGGUAUGAUAUUUUCAGGGUUUAAAGUGUCCUGUCACAUCACAUGUGAUUGUAAAGGGACUUGUGUGUGGCACUGAAGUCAUGCAAUGUAUCAAUGUCACAGUAUUGUCAUUGUCACAAUAUUUCUUUUUGUGAUCAGGUUUGAAUUCUUUGAAAAAUAAACACUGACUUUAAA